GCUUUUGAACUUCAGCCACAUCUUCAAAAGUAAAAUCUUCCCUUUGGCAAAGGACAAAGGGAACACCGCGCGGCACAGAGUAAUCAGCCAGGGUCCGCGCAAUCCGAUCCGAGGCUUCAACGUCUUUGGUGGUCAACCCAAGCGAAGCACUCAUGUGUACUCGGUUGGGGUCAUUCCAUUCUUCCCGACUCCCGGGAAGAAACUCAGAAGUAAUGAAGAAGAACUCCUUCU
rnacentral:lncRNA from 1 species